GCCGCCGCCCUCUCGUGCUCCCGGCCACUGCCUCCCCUUCCCUUCACCCUCUCCGCCUGCCUCCGUCGCCCCUCCCCGCCUCCGCUCCUCCUGCUCUGCGCCGUCGCCGCUCGCUCUCCCGGGGGAUCCAGAUCCGGCGCGGGGAGCAGCUCGGAGGGAGAGGGGCAUGGGAGCGGGCGCGGGCCGGCCUAGGCACGCUCGAACUGGUAGCCGGCCGCGUCGCCGUUGGCGGCGAGGGCGGCAGCCGGCUGCGCAUCGCCUGUCCGCGGGCGUGGCUCUCGUGGCCGUGUUGGCUAACGGCUUACUGUAGGACAUCGGGCUUCUUGACCCGCCUCCGGCACGCCGCUGCUGGACCAGCUCGACGCCCUCGCCUCCGCCCUCGCGCUCCGGUCCGUCGGACACGGAAGCACGGUGCGGCCUCCAUCCCUUCCCGCUCGGUUGUUCCCGCUCCUCUUCUCUGUUUGUGGCUUUCUUCAUUGGUGUUCCGACUCUGCUAUUUUCUAUAUGCCUUAUCCAACUGUGAGUAUAUCUGUCUCAUGUAGCUACUGGAAACUACAAUUUUAGUAAUAGAGGUGAGGUAUCAGCCUGCAAACGGUGCGGCUCGGAGCGCACCUGAGCGUGACCCUCUGCUCCUCCAGUGUACAAGGAGGUUCAGGGGUCGAACCGCUCCGUAGGUGCAGCUGCCCCGUCAAACCCGCGGGUAGCCGGGGGGCAACCCACUUGCACAGCUGCACGGCUCGUCGUUAGCUAGCUGCUGCCUAGCCACGUCAAAUAAGCUUUGAGCAAAUGAUGAUGCCCACCGCUCGUAAGCUGCUGCAUGCUGUCAGGUUUGGGGAAGGCAAAAGAGAAUUCAGAUCGGAGGGGUAGCGAAUUGAAAUUGCUGGGCAACGGCAAGCAGCUGUAUUGGCUGGGUGGUGGAAUUGAUGUCGACGGGAACAGUGAGAGGUUCGGGUCCACCACAGGGUCGAUGGGUCACGAACCCAAUUGCACCUCUUUCAUUCAGGAUCGAUCCGCUCCGAUCCGCUACUUAAUCUGAGGAGCGAAGCGAGUUCACAAAAGGAUUGAACCGGACCCCCUGCAGGCUGAGUGAGGUAGUUCCUUUCUUAUUUGCAAUCGUAGCUAAAUAAGUCAAUGGCAUCUUAGCCUUGCUUACUUUCGUUGUCUCGAUGUACUGAACCAGUUAGAGAAGGAUAAAGCUUAAUAGACUGCAUUUUGUUUGUUCAAUAUAUCUAAACUCCAAAAAUAAUUUGGAUGGUUAGUCCCACUUUGUAGUGUCUCAAUUCGUCAAACAUAUUCAUGGCUUUUGCAGUGCAGGAUAAUUGAUAUACAAGUCUGUUCUUAUUAGACAGGCGUGUUCUAAUUAUUAGCACCUACAACCACAAUAGAUGUCUGGUCUGCAGGAAUGGAUUUGUAUAUUUUAGGAAAAUACAGCAGGGGAAAUCCCUGCUGUGAUAAAUAAAUUAUAAAAGUGUUGGCGUUUUGUCUUCAAAUCACAGUGAUGACUGAUGAGCUGAGGUCAUUUUCAUAACAUAGCUGUUGUACUCCUACUCCUACUGAGCACCUUAGUGCCCUCCGAUUGAAAUUUUCGACAGCUGAAUUGAUCUAUAAUUAGUUGUAUUUUGCUGUAAGAAAUGUCUUAGCAAUAAUGCAGUGACUUGAUGAAGUAACUAUCUUAAAUAUACGGGAACAUGUAGCAUUUGUGAAUUCAUUUGAUCAGAUUAUACAUGUACUCACUAUGUUGCUGAAACUGUUGAAAAAAUGUGCACUUCUUUUGGCAUUCCUUUCAUCCAUGAGUCUUGGUAGCUGUAAAUUGAACGACUUUGUCAUGCCUAAGUUUCAUGAUGUAUGGCGCUCCAAGUGCAUGGCUAUGGAAUGACUGAAUCUUGUGAGAUCAUAUGUUUAGAAUACCCAGAAAAAGGACAAGGUCAUCAAUUUGGGUCAACUGGAUUACUUGUCUCAGGAGUUGAAGCAAAAAUUGUAGAUAUAGAAACAUUGAAAUAUCUGCCACCAAAUUAACUAGGAGAAAUUUGUGUUCAAGGACCAAAAAUAAUGUAAGGUAAAAUUUUGAUAGUUGACUGUAUAUAUUGUGUUUUAGUUCUUUCUCCAUAUCAUCAACUAUUAAAUAGUAGCAAGGCCAGUCAAAAAUAUUAUACUGGGUUGUAGUAACUGGUAGUAUUGUUUUUAGUUGCAGACUGACAAUAGAUCCAAAAGUCCUCCAUAGUAUUCUGUCCUGGAGGGAUACUGUAGCCAAAACAUUUUCCUACUUAUUGAAUGUAUUGUUUUUAGGGAAUUUCAACAAUGUGCAAGCUACUGAAUUUACAAUCAAGCAAGGGUGGUUGCAUACUGGUGAUAUUGGGUACUUGAAAGAAUCCCUAUUGUUUUACAAACACAUAUUAUCUGUUUUUUAAGAGCUUUUGCUUAUAAACAUGUGGGUUGGAAAGUAGUAACUGGACUGUGCUUACUCAAAGCAGAUUGCCUCAUUUUGGGCCUUUCUGCUGCUAAUGUUUGUAGUUCAACUAAGUAUUUGGAUUCAGACAAAUUAUUAUUCAGAUUUAGGACAUAGUUAUAUUUUCCAUCGAGAGUACUUGAUACAGUUAAACUUUUACAAUCACUUUUCAGAUAUAACUAGAAAAGACCAUGUGUUGUGGCCACCAUCUAUAUGUCCUACGCGAUAUCUAUUUGGAAGAAUGGAAGCGAAGGACAGAUUCUUAAUGGCAGCCUGGAACUUCCAGACAGAUUUGUGUGUGCAUUUAUAGAGUUCUGCUCUGCGUAUAGUUGGAAAUAAAAAUAAGGUGUCUCAAUUUUCACCAUGCAGAGGUUCCAGCAGUAAGCGAAGAUGUGUCGCUGAUAUGCGCAACCUUAGAGAUCAGGUGCUGGAGGUGCUGUUUCUCUUGCUAUGCUCUAGAUUUGUGUGCCUAGAUGAUAGAAGCAAGAUCAAUGAAUGAACUCGAUCGGUCCAAUUCACCAGAUCUAUUUGAUCAUCUUUUGAAGUUGCUCUCUGGAGGUGCUCCUGGAUGAAGAUGAACAAUGGGCCUUAAGAUAAACUAAAUUAACUCCUUUUGAUAACUGCUUAUAUGGGUGCAUUAGAUGAUCCAAAGCAUUCUUCCAAGACUGCAAAAGUGCUUACAUGAAUUUUGGAUCAAUUCGCAUCAAUGAAAGCUUCAGAAAUUACCUUAGGACAAAAAGGACAUGAAAUCUAUUUCCAUUUGGUAUUCAUUUGUGCUUGAAUGAGAUGAACCUUAGCUUGGGAUUGUACCUUCUUUUUGAGUAUUGGUGUACUUCACUACUGUCCAGAGAUGUUUGUUCGUCCAAUGCUGAUAACAAUAGAGCCUAUUACCUUCUGACAAUAAAGGGUGAAGAAUUUGUUGUCUUGAAUUUUAUUU